rnacentral:rRNA from 1 species
AUCAUGGCUCAGGAUGAACGCUAGCUACAGGCUUAACACAUGCAAGUCGAGGGGAAACGACAUCGAAAGCUUGCUUUUGAUGGGCGUCGACCGGCGCACGGGUGAGUAACGCGUAUCCAACCUGCCCAUCACUUGGGGAUAACCUUGCGAAAGUAAGACUAAUACCCAAUGAUAUCCCACGAAGGCAUCCGAAUGGGAUUAAAGAUUUAUCGGUGAUGGAUGGGGAUGCGUCUGAUUAGCUUGUUGGCGGGGUAACGGCCCACCAAGGCGACGAUCAGUAGGGGUUCUGAGAGGAAGGUCCCCCACAUUGGAACUGAGACACGGUCCAAACUCCUACGGGAGGCAGCAGUGAGGAAUAUUGGUCAAUGGGCGAGAGCCUGAACCAGCCAAGUAGCGUGCAGGACGACGGCCCUAUGGGUUGUAAACUGCUUUUAUAAGGGAAUAAAGUGAGUCUCGUGAGACUUUUUGCAUGUACCUUAUGAAUAAGGACCGGCUAAUUCCGUGCCAGCAGCCGCGGUAAUACGGAAGGUCCGGGCGUUAUCCGAAUUUAUUGGGUUUAAAGGGAGCGUAGGCCGGAGAUUAAGCGUGUUGUGAAAUGUAGAGGCUCAACCUCUGCACUGCAGCGCGAACUGGUCUUCUUGAGUACGCACAACGUGGGCGGAAUUCGUGGUGUAGCGGUGAAAUGCUUAGAUAUCACGAAGAACUCCGAUUGCGAAGGCAGCUCACGGGAGCGCAACUGGCGCUGAAGCUCGAAAGUGCGGGUAUCGAACAGGAUUAGAUACCCUGGUAGUCCGCACGGUAAACGAUGGAUGCCCGCUGUUGGCCUGAAUAGGUCAGCGGCCAAGCGAAAGCAUUAAGCAUCCCACCUGGGGAGUACGCCGGCAACGGUGCAACUCAAAUGAAUUGACGG